rnacentral:rRNA from 1 species
GACGAACGCUGGCGGCGUGCUUAACACAUGCAAGUCGAACGGAAAGGCCCCUUUGGGGGUACUCGAGUGGCGACCGGGUGAGUAACACGUGAGUAACCUGCCCUUGACUUCGGGAUAACUUCAGGAAACUGGGGCUAAUACCGGAUAGGAAUCCUUGCUGCAUGGUGGGGGUUGGAAAGCUUCGGCGGUUUUGGAUGGACUCGCGGCUUAUCAGCUUGUUGGUGGGGUAGUGGCUUACCAAGGCUUUGACGGGUAGCCGGCCUGAGAGGGCGACCGGCCACAUUGGGACUGAGAUACGGCCCAGACUCCUACGGGAGGCAGCAGUGGGGAAUAUUGCACAAUGGGCGGAAGCCUGAUGCAGCAACGCCGCGUGCGGGAUGACGUCCUUCGGGUUGUAAACCGCUUUCAGCAGGGGCGAAGCUUGUGGUGACGGUACCUGCAGAAGAAGCACCGGCUAACUACGUG